AUGGGCCCAAUGUCUCCGUCCUAUGGACCAUACUGCAGAGGCGGAAAUCCUGUAUCCCUUGCAACUACAGAAUAUGAACAUCAAGCAAAUGAAAGAAUAAUGGGAAAAACAUGGAGAAUCAAAGGACAUUCUAAAACUUCUGUUGACUGUCUAUACUAG
rnacentral:lncRNA from 10 species